AUCUGCAGAGAUAUUAAUCAGAAUACCAAACAAAAGAAGGGUCUGUUUCAUAGGUAAGUAAGAUCAUGCUUUAAAACGCUUCAGAAAUCCAUUACUGUUAUCUCUGUAAAACAAAACUGAGCUGUCUCUGCUUGAUUGAGAAUUUGCCAUUUUAAAACCUUUGCCUUGCCUAGAUCAGAUCAUCGGAUGCCUCCAAACCAAGAACCUAAUCCAGGGGGUUGGGAUUCUGAUGAAUUUGACCAAGAAGGAAGUGACAACGACUAUGAGGAGCCAGAUAAUAAUGAGUGUGAAGACAAUUACAUAUGUGCAGCAUCAUGUGAUAAUGAGGAAGACGUGAAUACUGAUGAUGACUAUGAACCACCUCCUACUGAAACACCUUCUGAAUUACCGUCUCACUUUCGUGUUGCCAAGCCUCUUGGUGAUGGUGAUUAUUUAGACAGCGGCCCACGUGGUUCUGCAAGACCACCCCAGGACAACAGGUCAGGAUCUCUUCCCAGAGGGCUUUUGAAUACCCCUAAGCCUCCAUCACGACCGGAUCCCUCUCCACACAGGCCUUUCAUUCCCUCCAAUCAAUCCAAACCUAGUGUGCCAAAGGUAGAUCGGAGUAAGAAACCUGGCUCAUCUGCACUGCCAAAACAAAAUAUCAGCAAAUCAGAAAUAAAACAAAACACCUUACCAAUGGCUUCAAAAUCAGCAACUUUACCCACACAAAGACAUCACAUUCAACAGAGGGAUGAGUUUCCUCCUCCACCUGUAGAAGUGAAUGUGAUGAUGGGGCAGGUGAGCACAAUCACAUUACCUAUAAUAAAUAUGACAGCAAGCAUCUCACAAUCCCACAAACCACCAAUGAACUUAAAGCAUGCAGAUGGACUGAACAACCACAAGAUGGCAGUGUUGUUACACGUGGUCCCGUGGUUUCCUUUACAAUGACUCUAAACAAAAGAAUCACAAGCCCAGUAUUGCUAACUCACCUUGUGCAUUAUUUAAAAUCAUAGAAACUAUAAAAUAUAUUUCCUGCUGUAAUAAUGAAAGUGAACACAUACUCGUCCACAGUGUAAAGGCUGAUUGUUUUUAUGCACUCAGGACAUGGAUCGACGGUGGUAUGUGGGGCAAAUGUCACGAGCACAGGCCGAAGUCUCACUAAGACAAAUGAAUGCAGUGAGUUCCACCACUAAAGCCAUAGAAUGUUUUAGAAUGAUCUAAAAUACACCCCUGCCUUCAAAUAAUUCUUAUAAAUUGUGAAUAAAAUAAGCUUUUAUGAGAGAAUUAAUUUGUAA
ensembl:lncRNA